GUGUUCUCAGCACAUAGCAUUUGCAAUAAGUUGUCCCAUUUGCUCUUCUCAACAUGGCUGUGAGAUAGGUAUGUACCACUGAGCCCAUUUUACAGAUGAGAAAACUGAGGUUCAAAUGUUCCAUAGCGGUUUUGAAAUCCAGCCACACAAAUGUUGGACAUUCCUUGAUUAGGUUUCAAGGCCUGGGGAUAAUUCUCCAUGGCUCUCAGCUCUGCCUUCUGGACUCUUGCAUCCACUCUCUGACUUGUCUUUUUUAUUUUUAUUUUUUGUUCAAUGGUAUCUUUUCAUUUUGUACUGUCUCUAUCCCUUUUACCCGAAGUUGCCAACAUUUUGCUGAUGUUAUUUUCUCAACAGUAAAACUUACAGGGGUUCACUCCAUUGAACAAAAGUCACACCCCUUUUUAACUGAGGCUCCUGUUGAGGAGCCUUAAGCUUCCUAGAGGUCCUAUGGUUCUGUUAAGAGGAUAUAUCAGGCAUCUCUUUAAUCUCUUUAAAGCACCCUUUGUUUGACAGAGUAAUACCCUCAUACAACAGGUCGCACAGUCACACUCCUGGGCACACUUUCCAGACAGCCUUCUGAAGCUAUUUCUUAAUUUUAGCAUCUUUUGGGAUCUGGAAAGGAUGAGACUUCAGAACCAUUAA
rnacentral:lncRNA from 1 species